rnacentral:rRNA from 1 species
UACAGAGGCCUCAAGCGUUGUUCGGAUUCAUUGGGCGUAAAGGGUGCGUAGGUGGCUUGGUAAGUUGAAGGUGAAAUCUCGGGGCUUAACUCCGAAACUGCCUUCAAUACUGCCGGGCUCGAGGAUUGUAGAGGAGAAUGGAAUUCACGGUGUAGCAGUGAAAUGCGUAGAUAUCGUGAGGAAGACCAGUGGCGAAGGCGGCAGUCCUGGACCGAGAUUGACGCUGAGGCGCGAAAGCCAGGGGAGCAAACGGG